rnacentral:tRNA from 1 species
GGAAUGGUAGCAAAGGCGGUCAAUGCGGCGGUUUGAAGCACCGAAGAUAUAGGUUCGAUUCCUAUCCAUUCCG